rnacentral:tRNA from 1 species
AGUCUAGUAGUUAAAAUUAUGAUGUGAGAUUGCAAAUCUUAAGUUAAGAAAGUAAAUCUUUUAGAUUU